GCAAACUUGGUCAUUUAGAGGAAGUAAAAGUCGUAACAAGGUUUCCGUAGGUGAACCUGCGGAAGGAUCAUUACUGAGUGAGGGUGUUUUUACGCCCAAACCCCCAACCCUUUGUCAAAUUUACCUUUGUUGCUUCGGUUGGUCGGUGUCUCGACACCGCCGGACUUUCGAGUCGGGAGAGUACCAACCGAUAGCCUCAACCUUUAAAUUCUUGAUAAUUAUGAAUUGUCUAAGUCUUAAACAAAUAAAAACAAAACUUUCAACAACGGAUCUCUUGGUUCUGGCAUCGAUGAAGAACGCAGC
rnacentral:misc_RNA from 1 species